AGUCUUUCGAUGAGGUUCAUGUUAACGUAUUAAAAUAUCGUAUCGCGUCAUUAUAUUAUUAUUUUUUUCCUCGUAUACAUAUAUGUAGAUGCAUAUACAUAUACAUAUAAUCCAAAUUUAUUUACAUAUUAUUAUACAUUUGUGUACGAAAUAAUAAAAAAAUGUGAAAGAAAUAAAAAAUAUGUAAUUCAUAGUAAUACAAAAAAAAAAGAAAAACAGGGAAAGCAAAUUUUUACCUGGAGGAUUUUUACCGCGAAAAUAAAUAUAAAAUUCUAAUAAAACAAAGCAAAAAAAAAAGAAAAGUAUUAGAAAAUAUAUUGUGAAUUUUAAUUGAAAUAUUUGAAGAUUGCAUAAAAUAAUAUUAUUGUUAAUGGAGUUAAGAAAUUAAAAGAAAGUCAUAGUGAAAAUUGUACAAUACAUUAUUAUUUAUACAUAAUUAUACAGUUAUUACUGCCGGUAUUCUCAAUAUAAUUGGAUUAUCAUUACUUUGUUGAGAUACCGAAAAGGUCAUUUGUGUAAAAUUUCAAGAAUACCUACCAACCUAAAUAAAAAAGAAUAAUUCCAAAAACAAAGUGUAAGUAAUUUGAAUUGCAAUUCACAAUUUAUAAUUAAAUAACAUAAAAAAUAAAUUUAAAUAUGUACCUAUUGCAAUUAAUUUUAAUAAAAGUGUAAUUAGGAAAAUAGAAAGCAAAGUAAAAUACCAAAAUAAUUAAAUCCAUUUAAAAUCUACACAAAAAAUCUGAAAUUCUUAAAUUAUUAAAAAAGUAUAUUCAAAAAAUAAAUCCACAAAAAAUUAAUAAAUGCACUGAUUAUGUUUUAUUAUUAAUAAAAAAGAAAAAUUCAUAAUUGAAUACAAAAAUAUUAAUUUAAUACUAAAAUUAAUAAAAUAAAUAAAAUUAGAGAAUUUAUUUUGUAAUAAAACAAAAAGGAGAGAACACAAUAAAGUCUCGUCCCUAAUUACAAUAUUUGUUUUGUGUUUUUUUUUUUCUUUUGUUGGUUUUUUACUUUAUAAACAGUAAAAAAAACCCUUUUUAAAAUAAAUAAUUAAUAAUUAUUAUUUUUGUUGUUGGUGUAAAAAUUAAAGGUAGUUCGUAUUGCAAAAGCCACAAAAAAAGUGUUUUUAUUUAUGGAAAAAUAUGAAAAAUAUUAAAAUAAUCAUUUAAUACAAAAGAAAAUUGCAAUUGUUAACAAAAAAAAACAUAUUUUUUUUUAUUUUUAAUUAAUAUUUUAAAUGUGGUCAAAUUAAUUAACAAAAAACAUACGUAUGUUUUAUGCAAAUAUAUUAUUUAAAAAAAUUUUUUACAAAAAUUUGAAAAGCUAAUUGAAAAAAAAAUGUAUUAAAAAAAUUUAUUUAUACUUAGAACAUACACAAAAAAUAUUUACGUAAAUUAAAUAUUAAAAUAAUAAAAAAUAUUCAAUUAAUAAAAAACAAAUCAAAAUAAACAAGAAACAAAAAGGCAAAGAAAAAGAGAGUUAGCAAAGCAAUAAACUAUUGCAGAAAGAGAAAGAGUAUCUAAUAAAGUCGAUAACUAUAAAAAAAGAAAAGAAAAAUCGAAAUGAUAAACUUAUAAAAAAAAUAAACAGAGUGAAAGAACAUAAAGGAGGCAGUAGAAAAUCUAUAAUAAACUGUAAUAUUUAAUAUUUUUAGUAAAAUACAAUAUUUAUUAUAAAUAACUAAGGCAAACAUAUUAAAAAAAUAAAAUUAAAUGAAAAUAAUUUGAAAAGAGAAAUUAUUUGUGAAAAGAAGCUUAGAGUAAUUAAAUUAAAAUAUAGUGCAUUAGUGACCAUACAAGUGUAAAAAACAAAAAAAAAAAAAAUAAAUGAUUAAAUGAAUAAGUAAAUAAAUAAUAC